GUGAGCUAGCGAGCGGGUUACUUGAAAGAGAGGAAACUCCUCCCUCAUUGCAGGCACCCAAAUUAGCGAUAAUUAACUGGAGACAGUUGGCGCCGGAACAGAAAAGAUAUCCAGCCACAUAUACACGAUGAUGGUGAAUAGCCUGAGAUUUUGUGAUACAGGAAUGAAACUGCCGUCCUGGGUGGAGCAAGGCCGAACAGAGCUUAAAGGUCCUGCACUUGCUCAGGUUGGCCGCUCAGCGGAAUCCCGUAGAGAACAGAAGGAGGGUUACUACUAGCACAC
rnacentral:RNase_P_RNA from 1 species